GGUGUUGCUGGUUUAUUGGAUAUCUAUAUUGUAGCUGCCAAAGGAUAUCAUAAAAUAGAUUGACCAAUUGUGUCUGCCUUUCUCUAGAAUAGCUCCAUCGGCAGAGGCAGAGUAAAGUAUCUGGUUAAUUGGUCAUGUAUAUGCCGACGAAAAAUGUUCGGAGGCUUGGGCAUCAUUGAUCUGUUUUUGUUCAACAAAGCUUUGUUACUCAAAUGGUGUUUCAGAUUCUUCAACGAUGACGUGCAGCCUUGGUGUAUCCUGAUUCAGAACAUAUACUACGACAAGAGAGCACCAGC
rnacentral:lncRNA from 1 species